AGUGAACGCUGGCGGUAGGCCUAACACAUGCAAGUCGAACGGCAGCACAGGAGAGCUUGCUCUCUGGGUGGCGAGUGGCGGACGGGGGAGGAAUACAUCGGAAUCUACUCUGUCGUGGGGGAUAACGUAGGGAAACUUACGCUAAUACCGCAUACGACCUACGGGGGAAAGCAGGGGACCUUCGGGCCUUGCGCGAGUGACUGCGCCGAUGUCGGAUUAGCUAGUUGGCGGGGUAAAGGCCCACCAGGGCGACGAUCCGUAGCUGGUCUGAGAGGAUGAUCAGCCACACUGGAACUGAGACACGGUCCAGACUCCUACGGGAGGCAGCAGUGGGGAAUAUUGGACAAUGGGCGCAAGCCUGAUCCAGCCAUACCGCGUGGGUGAAGAAGGCCUUCGGGUUGUAAAGCCCUUUUGAUGGGAAAGAAAUCCAGCUGGCUAAUACCCGGUUGGGAUGACGGUACCCAAAGAAUAAGCACCGGCUAACUUCGUGCCAGCAGCCGCAGUA
rnacentral:rRNA from 1 species